GCCAGUGUGGCAUAGUGGUUUAAAUGUUAGCCUACAACUCUGGAGAUCAGGGUUCAAUUCCCAUCUAAGCCA